rnacentral:rRNA from 1 species
UACAGGGGGGGCUAGCGUUACUUAACGUUACUUGGCGUAAAGGGCACGUAGACGAUUUUUGUUAGUUAAGUUUGAAAUGCUUGUUUGACAAGCAGUGGACUUAAAACUAAAAAAUUAGAGUUUAUUAGGGGAUAGUGGAAUUUCUAAUGUAGUGGUACAAUACGGCGAUAUUAGAAGGAAUGUUCGUGGUGAACACGACUAUCUAGUUUAAACUGACGUUCAGGUGCGAAGGUAUGGGGAUCAAGCGGG